rnacentral:lncRNA from 1 species
UCUGAUCACAAUAGGUCCUUGGUGCCUACUAUAUUGUCCUUCUCCGACUCAUUAACAUGUGAAUAGGAUUCUUCCAUAGAAAAGAACAAAUGGAGCAAAAGUUGUGUAGUAAACCUUUGGCUGGACUGCUGGGUUUUGUGGAAAACACCAAUCUAUUCGAGGCAUGUAAUAAACCUUUGGCUGGACUGCUGGAUUUUGUGGAAAACACCUAAUAAACCUUUGGCUGGACUGCUGGAUUUUGUGGAAAACACCAAUCUAUUCGAGGC